rnacentral:misc_RNA from 1 species
AAUCCUCAACCCCAUCUCCUUUGUGGUGAUUGGUGUUGGAUAUGGGAGCUGCUGGCUUACAAGUCGGCUCUUCUCAAAUGCAUUAGCAGGGCCACGCCACUGCAGCUUGGUAUUGAUAGUUGUCUUACCAGGCAAGCAGGUUAGCAAUGUGUCCAGCUUCUAGUCGUCUCUCUGAGACAAUCUUUGACG